GAUGAACGCUGGCGGCGUGCCUAAUACAUGCAAGUCGAGCGAACGGACGAGAAGCUUGCUUCUCUGAUGUUAGCGGCGGACGGGUGAGUAACACGUGGAUAACCUACCUAUAAGACUGGGAUAACUUCGGGAAACCGGAGCUAAUACCGGAUAAUAUUUUGAACCGCAUGGUUCAAAAGUGAAAGACGGUCUUGCUGUCACUUAUAGAUGGAUCCGCGCUGCAUUAGCUAGUUGGUAAGGUAACGGCUUACCAAGGCAACGAUGCAUAGCCGACCUGAGAGGGGGAUCGGCAACACGGGAACGGAGACACGGCCCGACCUCCUACGGGAGGCAGCGGUGGGAAUUCUUCGGCAAGGGGCGAAGGCCGAACGGGGCAACGCGGGGGAAGGAAUGAAGGUCUUCGGAUCGUAAAACUCUGUUAUUGGGGAGAAACAAAGUUGUAAUAACCGGUGCACAUCUGAACGGUACCUAAUAAGAAAGCACGGCUAACUACGUG
rnacentral:rRNA from 1 species